rnacentral:tRNA from 1 species
CUCUGGGUGGUGCAACUAGUUAGCACAUUUGGCUGCUAACCAAAUGUUGGAGUUUUGAGUCUACUCAGAGG